UUAAUUUUUGAGUGAAAAAGCUUAGAUUGUCUUGGAGGACGAUAAGACCCUAUAGAUCUUUACACUGGCGGUUUUCUGGCGCGGCUGUUAGUCUAGAUGGCCUUAUAGUGUUUCGUUGGGGCGACGGUGGAAGCAGAGGAAACUUCUUCUUCUGGAAACAGUGAUUUCUGACCUUUGAUCCUCAUAUGAAUUAAGAGCAAGUUACCUUAGGGAUAACAGCGUAAUUCUCCUUGAGAGACCUAAUCGACAGGAGAGUUUGCGACCUCGAUGUUGGUUCAGGGAACCUCGCUGGCGCAGCAGUAAGCAGAGGCAGUCUGUUCGACUGUUAAUUCCCU
rnacentral:rRNA from 1 species